UGUAAACAGCUACCAGCUGGUGAAAUUAUUUGUUCGUAGAGACAGACUUGAGUGGUAACCACUAAACAGACAUUGUGGCGAGAGUUGUGCUACUUUGAACUGGAUACAACCAUAAAGACUGCCACCACCACCGUCCAUGGAGGUCACUGUACUGCAGGCCCAGCCAUUGUGUGUCAUCAAUGCCAAGUUCAGAUGCUACCUGCACCACAUAACCACAAUGGUCACAGAUGUCUACAACAACUGGCCCAGUGUUCUAGAAGUGUGGGAGGCAGACCUUUCCAGCAAAGAGCUCAGAGACCACUGUCAUCCAGAGGGCCAGCACAAAGAAAAUGAAUCAAGAAGAAAUUAAAUACAUAAGGAAGAAUGAGGCAAGAAUGAAGAAAUGAAGAAAGAAAUAACAAAGUAGAAAGAAUAAAUGAGGGAAGAUAAUGAACACAAAAGCAGGUACCAAGAUUACAAGAAGCUCUCACCACCCUGAUAGAUAAGAGACAAGACGUAACCACAGAGAAGAUGCAGUGAGUCAUCACAAGAUUAACAGAGCCAGACAUUAGCAUUAGAUUACAAAAAAGGGAUACCCUGGUAGCUAUCACAAAAUUAGUACACAAGGGAAGCAGAGGUCACCGGCAGCAAAUGAUGUGGACAAGACAGACAGCACA